rnacentral:rRNA from 1 species
UGGGGAAUAUUGGGCAAUGGGCGAAAGCCUGACCCAGCAACGCCGCGUGAAGGAAGAAGGUUUUCGGAUCGUAAACUUCUAUCCUAGGUGAAGAUAAUGACGGUAGCCUAGAAGGAAGCCCCGGCUAACUACGUGCCAGCAGCCGCGGUACUACGUAGGGGGCAAGCGUUGUCCGGAAUGAUUGGGCGUAAAGGGCGCGUAGGCGGCCUUCUAAGUCCGAGGUGAAAGUCCUGCUUUUAAGGUGGGAAGUGCAUUGGAAACUGGAGGGCUUGAGUGCAGGAGAGGUAAGGGGAAUGCCCGGUGUAGCGGUGAAAUGCGUAGAGAUCGGGAGGAACACCAGUGGCGAAGGCGACUUACUGGACUGUAACUGACGCUGAGGCGCGAAAGUGUGGGGAGCAAACA